CAUCACUGGGGUCUGUGAAGGGCUGUGUGUGUGCACACAAACACUCAUGCACACGCACUUCUGGAUGGCCUGUGUGAGCACUGACUGGGUGACCUGUGUGUGCCUGGCCCGCCUGACUGGGACGUCCAUGCGUCUUUCUGUUUGCAACUAUGUUUCAGUGUUUCUGACCCAGACCCUGUGCUCUGGUAUCUCUGAAGCUGCCAGGCUUGAAGGGCAUGUUA
rnacentral:lncRNA from 1 species